rnacentral:misc_RNA from 1 species
GUCUGAAUAGAAGCAAGAAGAAGAGUGCUGAUAAAAAUUCUUUGCGGUCGCCGCAAAAAGUGAUGAAUUAAUUGUUAAAAGUUAUGAUUAUUUAAGCCUUAGCCUACAAAAUAGCUAGUUUGUAAAAAAAAACAGAAUACUAAGCAAAAUGGAUGUUCAACCCCCAAGAGAUGCAAGUUUACGCAAUAUAAUUGAUAAAUUGGCCGAAUUUGUGGCACGCAAUGGACCCGAGUUCGAAGCAAUUACCAAACAAAAGCAACAGAAUAAUCCAAAGUUUGAAUUUCUCUAUGGCGGCGAAUUCGCCAGCUACUAUCAGUUCCGUGUGGCAGCGGAGCAGGCAAUGCUGAAACAACAGGGCGGCAUGCCCACAGGUGCGCUCUAUAUGCAACAACCGCCGCCAACUCACGCACACUACGCGACGCAACAGCCGACCAACAUGCACGACAAUGUCCAGGACAGCAUGCAGCAGGCGCAACAGAAAUCUCAGCAUAUCUGGCCGCCCAAUGCAGGCGCGAGUCCGGCAACCGGCCCAGGACCAGCGCCAGCGAAUCCCCAAUCAGCAAACGGCAGUGCGCUGGCCAUGAGCCUGGCCACACAAUUGGAUGCGAUCAAAAUCCAACAGAAUACGCUGCGGGAUCAGAUUAAACAAUCGGAUGCGAAUCUUUCCGCACAGCAUACGGCGCUGAUGACACAAAAGACAAAGCAAAUCGACGAUGCGAUGGCGGCGGCCCAGACGACACAGCUGGAGCAAUUGGCCAACGAGCAGGGCAUUGUGUUGCGGGAAUUCGAUGGUAUCCUGCAGCCGAUCAUUGAGUCCUGCACCAAGGACAGCAUCUCAGCAGGGCUUUGCUCAAUGGUUCAACGUUUCAGCAAAAAUUGCAUCUUAUAUAUUUAGUUAAUGAUAUACUCCAUCAUUGCAUGCGCAAAAAUAUCAGCGAUUUGAAGAACAGCCUCGAGAAUGUCGUAAUACCGAUGUUCUGCAGCGCGGACUUGAUUGCCAACAAUGAUCAGCGCCAGAAGUUGUCCAAGCUGUUGUCUCUGUGGGAAUCGAAGGCCAAGUUCUUUGAUGCGUGCGUCAUCUCCAAGCUGCAAUCGCCGGACUCAUCCAUGCAGGAGUACAAAACGAAUCUGCAGAACACGCAUCAUGAUAUUGUCGCCAAAUACACGCAGAGCACAAAGGCCACGCUGGACAACUACCAGAAACAGCAUCAGAUCUUUAUGCAACAUGCCACGCAGCAAAUAGCCCAGCUGGAGCAGCAGAAACUGCAGCUGGAGAAACAAAUUCUCGUUGCACAAAAGGCACAGCAGCAGCUUCAGCAGCAACAGCAACAGCAGCAGCAGCAAACGCCUGGCACGCCCCAAUCGAAGUCGAUACCUUCUCUGAUGGCGCAACGCAUUGCCAUGCCCGGCGCGGAUCAGGAGCAUAUGCACACGCCGCCGCCGCCAUCGUCGGCACACGAUCAUGCGCAGCCGGGCAACAACAUCUACGCGGGCUAUCAGCAGCAGUCGCAGCAGCAGGCGCCGCCGGGCAAUCACUAUGUGGAUGCACGCGGUCCAAACUUUUUCAUUCCGGA